AGAGUUUGAUCCUGGCUCAGGAUGAACGCUGGCGGUAUGCUUAACACAUGCAAGUCGAACGGGCUCUUCGGAGCUAGUGGCGGACGGGUGAGUAACGCGUGAGAAUCUGCCUUUUGGUCUGGGACAACCACUGGAAACGGUGGCUAAUACCGGAUGUGCCUUUAGGGGUGAAAGAUUAAUUGCCAGAAGAGGAGCUCGCGUCUGAUUAGCUAGUUGGUGAGGUAAAGGCUCACCAAGGCAGCGAUCAGUAGCUGGUCUGAGAGGAUGACCAGCCACACUGGGACUGAGACACGGCCCAGACUCCUACGGGAGGCAGCAGUGGGGAAUUUUCCGCAAUGGGCGAAAGCCUGACGGAGCAAUACCGCGUGAGGGAGGAAGGCUCUUGGGUUGUAAACCUCUUUUAUCAGGGAAGAACCAAAUGACGGUACCUGAAGAAUCAGCAUCGGCUAACUCCGUGCCAGCAGCCGCGGUAAUACGGAGGAUGCAAGCGUUAUCCGGAAUUAUUGGGCGUAAAGCGUCCGCAGGUGGCUCAUCAAGUCUGCUGUCAAAGGCAGGGGCUUAACCCCUGAAAGGCAGUGGAAACUGGAGAGCUAGAGUGCAGUAGGGGUAGAGGGAAUUCCCGGUGUAGCGGUGAAAUGCGUAGAGAUCGGGAAGAACAUCGGUGGCGAAAGCGCUCUGCUGGACUGCAACUGACACUAAAGGACGAAAGCUAGGGGAGCGAAUGGGAUUAGAUACCCCAGUAGUCC
rnacentral:rRNA from 1 species